rnacentral:snRNA from 1 species
GUGCUUGCUUCGGCAGCAUAUACACUAAAAUUGGAAUGAUACAGAGAAGAUUAGCAUGGCCCCUGUGCAAAGAUGACACGCAAACUCAUGAAGCAUUCCAUAUUUUA